UAUGUAAUUUGGAAGUGGUUCUGUGUUUUUUGUAGGCUAGAACAAAUGAAUAUAUAUAUUUACAUUGUUUUGAACUAUUUUGGUUUUUAACUAUGAGAGAAGAUACAAAAUAGAAUGUGGAAACUAGGAAAACCUUAUGGCAUUGAAACGACAUUAAAAUCAUAUUUUGGAAAAUGUAUGUACCAGCUCUAGCCAUGAAAGGGCCUAGAGGUGAUGAUCCUUUAUUAACAAUGAGCCUACAUUCUACUGAGUCUUUGCUACUAAACACUGUUGUCCUCUAAAAUCAGGAAAAAUAGUUGAAACCAGGUCUGGGACAGGAAAAAUAAAUGUGGGCCUUGAAUUGCAUGAGAUAUACUAAAACAACAACAAACCCAACAACAAAACUAGUUGAAUUAUGUCAGAAUAAGGUAGGAGGCAGCUUAAAGAGGCUUCCACUGACCAAAUUUGAUGCAGUCUGUGUAUUAAAGUGAUUAAGGAUGGAAGUAAGACUGAUACAGUAAUAACUUUUUUUAAAGACAAGUAAAGGAGAAAGGACAGAAAAUCGAAUUUCAAAAGAAAUCACCAUUUUGCAACCCUGAUUUAGGCUACAAUCAUCAAUGAAUGCUAAAACCAUUGGGGAAUAAAAUAUUCACAUUGUCCCAAAAUAUUAUCCCAUAGCUUAUGGCUGAUAUUAUUUAUAAUGAGACAAAUUAUUUUUCAAGUGGAUAGGUCUAGUGGUCACUACCUUAACCAAGUGAUCAGAUUUAGCAUUAUCAACAGUGAACCCCAUAGAAUGUACCUUGUGAUGUGACACAGAAACUACACACCACUUAUAUAGUAUUCUUCCAAAAUGUUUUAACCAAAAUCUACUUGUGAAGAAACAAAUCAAACAGACUCCUAAUGGGGGAUAUUCUCUAACAGCUGGCUCUGACUUCCAAAUUUAAUGUCAUAAAAAGUAGGAAACUACUUUUGAUUAAAAGAUGCAAAGGAAAUAUAGCUAAAUAUGAUGCAUAAAUAUUGAUUGGAUUAUGGGUUUUUUAAAAACCAUAAAUACAUUUUUGGGACAACUAGGGAUAUUUAAUUAUAAGCCAUAUACUAAAUGACCAAAAAGAAGAUUAUGGUUUUUUUCCUACUCAAUGCAAUUAUCCAAUUUUGUCUUUUUUUUUCUCAUCUAUAAUACAUUGGGUUAAUAUUUUCCACCUUUGUCCUAUUCAACUGUUGGAUUCCUUCCUGGAUUAAAUAACUCAUUAAUCUCUAUUAGAU
rnacentral:lncRNA from 1 species